rnacentral:lncRNA from 1 species
CAGAUGUCAACAGUCUUUAGAACGUUGUUUCAUGCUUCUACUGUGAAUAGGGAGAGAACAAGAGCUCCUGGAAGUAGAUGACUGAGAAAAUGACAUGAGUUCAGUGGCGCACACUCACAUGAGUUAGCUAUGUUCCUUUUCUUUUUUGAAGACAUUGGAAUUGUCCGGUUGGAAUAUUACUGAAGAUUUAUGAUAAAAGCAUCCUAAAGAUUGAUGCUAUACAUCGUUUGACAUGUUUCUACGAACCUUUCAAAACAGCAUCAGACCAAACACUACUCACUCAGUUCCAGGUUGGUGUAACGGCUGUCUUCGUCGUCCUCAGAUGAAGGGGAAGAGAAAUCAGACCAAAAUGCAGCGUGGCUGCCAUGAGCUGGUUGCUGGCGGGCUAAUCCAGGGGCAGGCUGCUGACGGGCUGGUCCUGGGGCUGGCUGAGGGCCAAUCUCAUCCUCUUCCAAUUCACUGUCAGACUCCAAUUUGACAGAGACAUGAUCCUCAUAUUCGGAAAAUUCUUCAUCUUACAAAGUGGAAGACGAUCCUUCCACACUAACUUCUCUCUCUACAAAAAUUAUUUCUAAGUCCCUCUGAGCAGAGAUUAUUUUUGCCAUACUGAUUGAUUGUGGUAAGGAGCCACACAUGCAAAGCUAUUUAUUUGUGUCCCUCCCCCAAUUUGCACCUGGCUGUGUGUGGGAAAAUACAGCAUUUCUUACAAUGUAUUGUAAUAACAUUGUGCAGGUUCCCGCAAGACAUUGUGUAGUUUCACACAGUACAAAGGGUAAAGAGUGCGAGAAAAGCAAGAGACAGGCAGAGAGACAGACAGGAUAUUGGUGCUAUGUUGAAACAACAGGCCCAGGGAGGAGGAAGAAAGAGUGAAGGCACACAGCAAACCUUUUUGCUCAAUUUUGACAUGUUUUCACCUACACACACACUUUUCCACACUUUUAUUACCCUCGGGUCCAGUGGACCCGGACACCACAUAUGUAAUAUAAAUAUGUAGGGAGGUCCGGUGCACCAGAACACCACAUAUGUAAUAUAAAUAUGUAGGGGGGUCCAGUGGACCCGAACACCACAUAUGUAAUAUAAAUAUGUAGGGGGGUCCAGUGGACCAGAACACCAGAUAUGUAAUAUAAAUAUGUAGGGAGGUCCAGUGGACCAGAACACCACAUAUGUAAUAUAAAUAUGUAGGGGGGUCCAGUGGACCCGAACACCACAUAUGUAAUAUAAAUAUGUAGGGGGGGUCCAGUGGACCAGAACACCACAUAUGUAAUAUAAAUAUGUAGGGGGGUCCAGUGGACCAGAACACCACAUAUGUAAUAUAAAUAUGUAGGGAGGUCCAGUGGACCAGAACACCAGAUAUGUAAUAUAAAUAUGUAGGGAGGUCCAGUGGACCAGAACACCACAUAUGUAAUAUAAAUAUGUAGGGAGGUCCAGUGGACCAGAACACCACAUAUGUAAUAUAAAUAUGUAGGGAGGUCCAGUGGACCAGAACACCACAUAUGUAAUAUAAAUAUGUAGGGAGGUGCACAGUGUGCACUCAAUGAAAAUGUGUUAUUUGACAUGUUCUUCACAGAAAAUGAGCCAAGGCCAAUGAGUCUCAGGUUGAAAUAAUGAUUCAUUGUAUCAUUUUUCUUUGAGUAAACAUUGAAAAUGGGUCCCACAUACCCGACCACCACACAAGGGUUAAGAAUUGUACGUUUUUGCACCAACUUGCCAUGUGGCUCCGUUUUUGGAGGAUUGUGGGUAACAUUUUAACCUCUCUAGGGUAUGUGGGACGAAAUCGUCCCACCUACUCAACAGCCAGUGGAAUCCCGUGGCGCGAUAUUCAAAUACCUUAGAAAUGCUAUUACUUCAAUUUCUUAAACAUAUGACUAUUUUACACCAUUUUAAAGACAAGACUUUCGUUAAUCUAACCACACUGUCCGAUUUCAAAAAGGCUUUACAACGAAAGCAAAACAUUAGAUUAUGUCAGCAGAGUACCCAGCCAGAAAUAAUCAGACACCCAUUUUUCAAGCUAGCAUAUAAUGUCACAUAAACCCAAACCACAGCUAAAUGCAGCACUAACCUUUGAUGAUCUUCAUCAGAUGACACUCCUAGGACAUUAUGUUAUACAAUACAUGCAUGUUUUGUUCAAUCAAGUUCAUAUUUAUAUAAAAAACCAGCUUUUUACAUUAGCAUGUGACGUUCAGAACUAGCAUACCCACCGCAAACUUCCAGUGAAUUUACUAAAUUACUCACGAUAAACGUUCACAAAAAACAUAACAAUUAUUUUAAGAAUUAUAGAUACAGAACUCCUUUAUGCAAUCGCUAUGUCCGAUUUUAAAAUAGCUUUUUGGCAAAAGCACAUUUUGCAAUAUCUGAGUAGAUAGCUCGCCAUCACGGGCUAGCUAUUUUGACACCCACCCAGUUUGGCACUCACCAAACUCAGAUUUACUAUAAGAAAAAUUGGAUUACCUUUGCUGUUCUUCGUCAGAAUGCACUCCCAGGACUUCUACUUCAAUAACAAAUGUUGGUUUGGUUCAAAAUAAUCCAUAGUUAUGUUCAAAUAUCCUCUGUUUUGUUCAUGCGUUCAAGACACUAUCCGAAGGGUGACGCGCUCGGCGCGUAUCGUGACCAAAAAAUUCUAAAUAUUCCAUUACCAUACUUCGAAGCAUGUCAAACGCUGUUUAAAAUCAAUUUUUAUUCGAUUUUUCUCGUAAAAAAGCGAUAAUAUUCCGACCGGAAAACCCUGUUUUCGUUCAAAGACUAAAAUCUAAAAUGGACUCUUCACGUGCACGCGCGCCCCCGUCUCAUUGUUCUCAGAUCGACCACUUACCAAAUGCACUACUGUUUUUCAGCCAUGGCCUGCAAAGUCAUCAUUCAACGUUCUGGCGCCCUCUGAGAGCCUAUGGGAGCCGUAGGAAGUGUCACGUUACAGCAGAGAUCCUCAGUUUUCAAUAAAGAGAGUGUAGAAGGCCAAGAAAUGGUCAGAGAGGGCACUUCCUGUUUGGAAUCUUCUCAGGUUUUUUUCCUGCCAUAUGAGUUCUGUUAUACUCACAGACACCAUUCAAACAGUUUUAGAAACUUUAGGGUGUUUUCUAUCCAAAUCAAACUAUAAAUCAAAUUAUAUGCAUAUUCUAGUUUCUGGGCAGUAGUAAUAACCAGAUGAAAUCGGGUACGUUUUUUAUCCGGCCGUGCAAAUACUGCCCCCUACCCUAGAGAGGAAUGAUACCUUUACACAAUGUUGUAUGCAUGUUUGAAGAAAGAAAGUACAUUUCUAUGUUAGUAUGAAGUAGCUUGUUGUGCUAUGAGGUGUAAUGGAUCAGGAUGAACGGAUAUCAGAACUGUCAGGCAAACUGACAUUCACUGAUCUGACCACCCAUUCCCACCAUCAGCUAGUCCACAUGCAUCACCCUUAAUAUCAGAGGCAAAUGCAGCAUCCAACAAGGCUUGCAGCUCUACCUCCACUUACUGCAAGUGGAAUGAGCACUGUGUUCAACAAUGCCUGUUAAAGUGGGUUAAAAUGACUAAUAAUCAGAAACAUAAAAGAACGGUAAACAAAUGUAAAACUGAAAGUAAGAUUAAAGUAGAUCUGACGAAUAAAAACAGUUUUGGAAUUGAUAAAAUGAAGUUGGACAUAAGCCAUUUUUUUAUGCUGGACUUAAUAUAUGAGUGUUUGUGAAACAGCAAAAGUUAAGUAGGUAUACCGUAUAUUAUACAUAAGAAUACCUCAUUUUUGAAAUACUCAAAAAGCUGAUGCAAAUAGUUGUUAUAUUUUAAAAGUAGAACUAGCACAAUAUUUUGUACAAUGUAUGUGCACGUUUUUAUCCAAAUUCGUGUGUACGUUAGCGUGUUGUCACGUCCUGACCAGUAUAAGGUUAAUUGGUAUUGUAGUUUGGUCAGGACGUGGCAGAGGGUAUUCGUUUUAUGUGGUUCGGGGUGGUGUGUUUUGUUGAAGGGGCAUUUGGUUUAAGUAUUCCGGGGUUUUUGGGCACUGUUUGGUUUUCAGGUAUUCUAUGAUUUUGUCUAGUAUGUCUGUUUCUAUGUUUGGUUAAUUGGGGUUGGGACUCUCAGUUGAAGGCAGGUGUUGUCUAUCUGCCUUGGAUUGAGAGUCCCAUAUAUGAGGGUGUGUUUGUUAUUUGUGGGUGAUUGUUCUGUGUUGAGCGUUAUGCUUUGCCAGACUGUUUGUUGUUCGUUAGUUCUUUGUUAUUUUGGUGUUCAUUUUGUAUUUAUUAAAAAGCAAGAUGAUCAUACACAUACCUGCUGCGUUUUGGUCCUCCAUUUCCAACGACAAGUGUGACGCAUGUGAGCUUGCAUGUUCAUGUGUACGAGUGUGUAUAUUUAUUUGUGUGUGUGUGUGUGAGGGGGAGGCAGUAGGUUCAUCCUGU